rnacentral:rRNA from 1 species
UGGGGAAUCUUGCGCAAUGGGCGAAAGCCUGACGCAGCAACGCCGCGUGUGUGAAGAAGGCCCUCGGGUCGUAAAGCACUGUCAGAGGGGAAGAACGCCUACAUGUUAGGUUUGACGGUACCCUCAAAGGAAGCACCGGCUAACUCCGUGCCAGCAGCCGCGGUAAUACGGAGGGUGCAAGCGUUGUUCGGAAUCAUUGGGCGUAAAGCGCGCGCAGGCGGCCCAUUAAGUCUGAUGUGAAAUCCCAAGGCUCAACCUUGGAGGUGCAUUGGAAACUGGUGGGCUUGAGUCCAAGAGAGGUUAGUGGAAUUCGUGGUGUAGGGGUGAAAUCCGUAGAUAUCACGAGGAACACCAGUGGCGAAGGCGACUGACUGGAUUGGUACUGACGCUGAGGCGCGAAAGCGUGGGGAGCAAACAGG